GAAAAAAAGGUGAAAAACAGAAUUGGACACAAGAAGUACUAAUAGUUUUCCCAACACAAAGAGAGGCUGAUUUCUCAACAGUAAAAUGAUAGUUAGUAUUCGUGCAAAACUUUUGAAAUACCCCUGCAAAGUUAGUAUUCAUGUCCAUACCUUGAAAAGCCUUGUUUAUUUGCAUAUGUACCGAAGAGGGAUACCUCACGUUGCAAAUAAGCAAGGUUUUUUAGGUAUAAACACACAAAUAGUGACUCUGCAAAAAUAUUUGCGUACUUGUGCAUAUUUGCAGGCAAAAGAUCCUAUUUCUUUUCUUAAACAUCCAAAUGGUUUCGUUGCAUUUUCAAGUGGCUUCAUGCAUGGGUUAUGUGGUAGGCUCUGUUCAACUGAUAAUUUAUGUAUUAUUUGAGCUUGCACAUAUAAUCGAGUGUAAGACUGCAUAAUCCUUUCAUCUACGCAACAAAUGACAAGUCAUUCGAUCAGCUAAACAUAAAAUUGAAUUACAGAAAUGUAGAUGAAAACCUAUCCUUAGAAUAAUGUUAUUCUUGUUAGUUUAAGAAAACUUACAAUAAAAGAGCACAGGCAGCCUCUUUACACUUAGAAACUCGAGUGUUAUAACCCCGUUUCUUGGGUAGAUUGUGCUGAAGCCCUGAAAAUGCCAACAAAAUUUUGAACACUAGUUGUCCUCCCUCAGGUUGCCGAUUUUUAUUCAACUUUGAGAAGUAAACAUAGGAGGGUGUUAUAGUCAAUUCACACAAAACAAAAAUAUGAAUCAUAUGUUAAUCUAAUCAAUUAGCAACAAUAGAAACAGAAAAUUAACUAACGGGGGGGAAGAAAAAAAAAUACUUAUGACCGAAAAGAGAAAUGAAAUAUAGUCUAAAGAAAUGAGUAGAGAAUGAAACAUUAGAGCAUGUAUUUUGAGCACUUAAAUUAUUACCUUGCAAUCCAUAAAAGUAAGAUAACCAGACCGUGAAAGCAAAAUAGCUGAUGGAUCCAGAAUACCAUUUCUAAGGCCCAAGUACUUAUUUUCGAUCAUCCUGAAAUAAUCAAAGUUGGCAAGGCCGAACAUCUUUGGGGCCCUGAUCAACAAAUUACAAUACAAGAAACACUACAAAGCCUUUUACUUAUAGUUGAUGAGCACUAGCAAAUUAAAGAUAGCUUACUAGCACCCAAGACGAAGCAAAAUGCGCCAAAUCCAAGAAUACCCAACAAAUGAGUCACCUGAAAAUUUGAAUCACAUCAUCGAAAAGAAACUCAGUUUAGUGCAAAAUCAAAUAAUUUGACAACCAAAUUCAUUUGUUGACGGAGAAAUUGUUUUAAAACUCAAAAUUAAGAAAUUGAUAUGUAACCAUAUAUCCAAAAUGCCCAUAGCCAUGUCAUUAAUAGUACUCAAAAGAUAUGACUCAAAAAUUGUCUUAGCACCUCUCCGAAGGAUACAAGACAUGUGGUAAAUGCUAAUUUUCACAAAUAAUGCCAUGAAUUUAAAACUAGCUUUGAUAACAUAUUACCAAAUAAUCGAUUGAAUAGAAAGCGACCAGUAAUCUUAGUACUGGAUAUCUAGGAUGGCAAACUGAAGUAGCAACUGUAUAAUAAGAUUCAAUGAAGUAACUAUUAUAUGAGUAGAAUUAGCUCAGAUUUAACAUGAUUCAUAUUUGUAUGGUGGAAGCAACAGACCUACAAACCAGAUGCAACUACUACUCUAAUAAAACAUGAAGAUGUCAAUAUAGAGUCAUGACAAUAGCAAUCAAGUAAGAUCUAUGUCGUAAUAAAAUAUGAAGAUGUCAAUAGGGGAAAUUCUAACUAAAGUAGGUAGUGAUGAGAAUUACUUACGAGACGUGUUUGUAUCUGCCACUAGAAACAUCAUUAACUUUGAGUAAGAAGCAACUAGUUUGUGUGAAUAGCAAACAAAUGCAUAUAUAUCUUUCAGUAGAGAUAUAUAUAGCAAACAAAUGCAUAUAUGUGUGAAUAGCCCAGCUUCAAGUAGAACUAACGAUUUCAAGCCAUAAAGAUGAAGUUGCUCAGGCUGAAGUUCAUUUAAGGAAUCAAAAGACUCAAGUGGGUUCAUUAUAUUAAGCAAAGUGGAGGGAAAAGGUUCUCAAGUUUGAAAAUAGAAGUUGAAAAUUGAAAAAUCUUUACCAAAGAAUCCAUGAUUUAGAUGAGUCUCAAAUAAGUUUUGGUUCAUGUAUCAGAAUGCAGAAAUAAGCAAGAUAAAUCAGUUACUAAGUUCCAGUUGUUGACUGUUGACUUGUACUUACCAAGUCCAUUUGCAUCUGAACCCUUCAUGAUCCUCAGCCUCCAGCAAGAGUCCAUGAACAUCCUGAAAUUCAAACAAUUGAGAAAGAAAAUCAGUAAUCGAGCAUCACUGAAAUGCAUACUCAAAUGCAAACACAAUCUGAUAUUACAAAAUGCAUAUGAUGAAAGAACGGACAAAUUUACACCAACAAAUAACUAGAAUGUGUACAAUGUCAAUCAUAAUUGUAUAACUUUCAAAUAAUAAAUUCCACAAUGCAACAUCUCAUUCAAAUAAAAACAGCCAACUCUGUUCACAAAUUGACUAUAUUCUAGAUCAUUUUGAAUGGAGACCCAUUUUUGGCCGAAUUAAUUCGAGAACGCAAUAGUAACUGCAAAAUGAAACAAAAAAAAGACUAAAUUAAAUUCAAGAGCAUAGAAAUAUUAGCACAACUCUACGUCCAAUUGUUUCAAUAUAAGUUAUCCAUACCAAGGAUUUAAGUGCCGUAGCACGGGGUUGUGCCGGAAACUUGCCGGCACGGUACGACACAGUGCGUGCCGAGCUGUGCCGAUGUGUGCCAGUCAAAACAAUUCUUGUGUGUCGACAUAUGAUAGCAUGAAAUAUUUAUUUUCUUCAGCAACAAAAAAUUCUAACUAUUUAUUAUGCCUUUUUAUCACAUCUUUUGAACUUUAUUGAGGAAAUUACUUACUAAUUUAAAGAAUAGAGGGUUUUGAGAUGUAUCAUCGGUACGGGGCCUGUAUCGUGCCAGUAUCUUGUUGGCACGGUACGACACGGUCGAUACGGCUCGUGCCGACGGGCACUUAAAACCUUGAUCCAUAGUUUCAUACUAUAUAAAUAAGAAAUUUUACUAAAUUUAGUGACAAUUAAGCCAAAUUUAGAUGAUUCGAUUCAAAUAAGUAAAAUAACUCAAGUCACAAUACUAAAAAUUAAAAAUGUGCCAAAAAGCUAAGGAGCACAUUACGAAAUUGGCUACAGUUGAGGGAGUCUCUUACAACUGCCUUAUUCCCUAAUAGGAGGACACUUUAGCAAGGCUUCUAUAAUUAAUGCUCUCUCUCCCUGCAUGGGUCCUCCUAAGCCACAUGAAAACAUAUACAAUGACAAUUUCUGCUUUAGCCUCACAAAACAUUAGUAGCUUCUUCAAUAUCAAUUUCCCCUUUUCUUUCCUUGUUGUUCUUUCACUUCAUUCCUCCACCAAUUUCCCUCACUAGCUACUACUAUUUAUUACACGCCUAGGCUAUAGAAAAACUAAUGCAUCGUAUUAUCAUAGAAAAGUGCCAAAGAAAGGGCAAAGUGAUGAAUCACAUAAACAUUGAGAGUUAAAUAUGGAUAAUAUCAGGGGACUUUCUAGAUCUUAGAACCAUUCAUCUAGGCUCUGAUAUUAUAUUUAGAGUUUGAAAAAUGUAUAGAAAUAAAAAUCGAAACGUAAGGCUAUUUCCCUUAAAAUUAUAAUUUGAAAAUAAGGAGAAAAGCACUACUACUGAUUUUAAUGAUCCAAACUCAAUGCAACCUGAUUGAUUUCGUUCAUAUCAAGAAAAAAUAUGCAAAAUUCAAGUUAAUUCGUUUCCCAUCAAAAAUCAACAUUAAUCAACAAAUUUCCAUUCAGUUUACGCAAUUUUCCAUUCCAAUACCUCCUAAGUCAUGAGAUAAAUUAACACCGGAAAAAUAAUGAAAAGGUAAUUAAGUGAGCGAUUUCUACAUUUACCCACAAAAUAACUAGAGAUUGUAGACGUUGUCGGCAGCGGUGAAGUGGAUGAUGCCGGCGAUUUGGUGGUGCUCGAGGAAGCUCGAGCUCGGAGAGGAGGGGUGGAGGGUGGGGCGUUCGUGUGAGGUCGACGCAGGGGAGAGGCACGGUUGUGACGCCCCAACUUUCCAGGGGUCACCCAUCUUAGGAUUACUCCCGUCCUAGCACGCUUAAUUCUCUUAACCUCUUGGGCCUAGCCACCACCCAAAAUACUUAAGUCGGAUUAAGAGUUCUUGUUCUAUUAUAUCUUAUAUAUAGGACUAUCUGGGGUCUCACAGCGGUGGAGUGGGAUCAAUCGGGUUGGUUUGGGUUAGGGUUAGGGUUCUAUUAGGGCUCAAAAUUAGAUAUAUUUAACAUAAAAUUAUUAGUUGGUAAAAACUAUAGUUGAAAAUAAUUGUCGCUAAAAUAUAAAUUAAUAACAAAUAAUAAUGGCCAUUUGAUAAUUGCCGUUAUUAAAUUAUCGUUAAAUGUCUAUUUUGUUAUAGUGGAAGAAAUAAUUGCUUGCCAAACAUAUUCUUCAAAUGACUAUUCAAAUCCCCGCACCUUUCCCUGCUUGUAAUCGCGGCAGAAAAGGAUCCUGGUUAGUGCACCUUGGCCCAUUUACUACAAAUAGUGUAUAAGUUUUUCAACCAUAGAUUUCUCUCAAGGUCAUAGUCCUUCAACAUAGCAAACCAUUUUUCCUCUAUUUUCUCCACCAAUCGAGCUUCAUAAACACAAUCCUUUAAUGCUGUAGAGAAUUUUGUAUACUUGUUGAUAAUGCAACGGAGGUUGAUGUUGGCAUAUUGAAAAAUAUGUCAAACACACAAACUAUGUUAAUUUAGUAUUUGGAAGGUCCGUUGCAAUUUCUUUGCACAUGGCUUUACAUUGAUCGGAAUAGGAUGCUUGGUGGACAAACACUUUCGAAAGGUUUGGAAAGCCGUAUAAAGGAUUUUGUUGUCUUGUCACACAAUAAGGCCCACUUCAAAUAAAAUCGUUUUCUUAUGAUUAUUCACGUCAAGAAUUGGUGCAAACAACAUGUUAUAUUUGUUAGUUUCAAAGGCUGUGUUAAAGGAUACAACAUAACCAAAAUGUGCAACAGUGCAAGUCAACAAUCACACUUUAGUCAAAAAUUUUUAUGCUUAUCUUCUUUCUGUUUUUUGCACUACAUGAUGAAUUUAUUUAUUCUUUCAGAUGGAUGGAGAUGGAGGGUUUGCUUUCGUCCAAUGGGUACGUGAUGUUUGCACCCAAAGAAUGGACGACCUACAUAAUUUCUUCAAAAAGAAAGGCAACUUUUGACUGGAGGGAUGCUAGAGUCGUGACUCCCGUCAAAGCCCAAGGUACAUGCAGUAAGUUAAUUUUAUUUUAUAUAUUAUAAGACUUGUUAUUUUUUAAUACCGUUCAUUUAUUUUUAUUCAACGGUUUAGAUUUAAUUUUUUUUGAAAUUGUGACCUGUAAUAGCAGAUCACUUGGAGAGAGGUAACGGUUACCAAAUACCGAAAAAAGGGUAUUUUGGUCUUUUAAUAUAUAGAUAAUUAGUAAUUUUAUUUCUACUAUAAAAAAUUUAAAUCUCUAUUUACUCUUUAUUUAUGUUUUCUCUCUGUAUCUUUCCUCUUCAUCCACAGUGGAGAUGUAAAGAGAUAGGAUUCCUAAAAUUAAUGCCUCAAAUUUGGGAUUUCAAUCAAAUCUUAAAUUAAUGCUUAAAUUAGUUGCAAAAUUAAUGAUAAAUUUGGGAUAUUAAUCAAAUCUUUCUUAAGAUUUUGUCUAGUUUAAUUACAAACUACCCUUAAAUGAAAUAACUUUUUAAUCUGCUAUAUAAUGAAAUAACAUUUUUAACCUUCAUUAAUCAACAGUUAAGAUCUUUUAUAUUUUCUAUAAAAUAAAGUACCGAAUCAUUUAUCAUAUUAUAAACCAUAAAAGUGAUAGAUUCUAAUUUUUUUUUUGAAUUAUAGAUUCUUGUUGGGCCUUUGCUGCUGCUGCAGUAUGGGAUUAAAAAAGGAGAGUUGCUGAAUUUAUCAGCACAGCAGUUACUAAAUUGCACAAAUACUAGUUUCUUACAUGGCGGUAGUGAAGAAGGUGAAAACAUGUUUGCAGCAUUCAGCUAUAUGUUGGAAAAUGGAGGGCUUGCUAGGUGGGAGAACUACCCAUACAAAAUGCGGAAGGGCCGCUACAAUGGUCAACUCGCAAGGCAGCAAGCCGCGCAAAUCGAUUCGUUUCACAUCGAAAACUAUGUAAUUGAGAAUAGAUUAAGAGCACUAAUUGACAAGCAGCCUGUUGUGGCUCAAGUCUUAGCGAAUCGCUCAUUUGCCGACUAUGAUGGAGGAUUUUUUGCUGGAUAUCCUGCUGAAACUACUAAUCAUGAAGUAUUAAUAACUGGAUAUGGAACGGACCCGGAACAUAGAGAUUAUUGGAUGAUAAAAAAUUCCUAGGGCGAAGAAUGGGGAGAAGGAGGGUUCAUGAGAUUGAAACGAGGGGUAGGGGCUUGCGGAAUUAAUCAUCUGAUCGGUUUUNUGUAUAAUGAAGUCGGCACAUCAAAUGACAUCUCUCCAUCUGGCUUUGGAUAUCGAAUAAUAGUAUGCAGGUUAGAUCAAAACAAAACAAAACCUGUGGGAUAAAUAUAUUAGAGAGAGGUGAUAGAAAGGAUACAAACCUUUGUAUAGUUAGAUCAAAACAAAAUCAAAGGUGAUAGAAAGGAUACAAACUUCUAAUCCCCGUCAUAUAAACAAUAACAUUAUUAUUUAAUAGAAUAAGCGAAAUAAUUUUAAAAUUAAUAAUAUUGUUGUGGAAAAAAAAUUACCUUAUAAUCGGAAAACCGAUCAGAUGAUUAAUUCCGUAAGCCCCUACCCCUCGUUUCAAUCUCAUGAACCCUCCUUCUCCCCAUUCUUCGCCCUAGGAAUUUUUUAUCAUCCAAAAAUCUCUAUGUUCCGGGUCCGUUCCAUAUCCAAUUAUUAAUACUUCAUGAUUAGUAGUUUCAGUAGGAUAUCCAGCAAAGAAUCUUCCAUCAUAGUCGGCAAAUGAGCGAUUCGCUAAGACUUGAGCCACAACAGGCUGCUUGUCAAUUAGUGCUCUUAAUCUAUUCUCAAUUACAUAGUUUUCGAUGUGAAACGAAUCGAUUUGCGCGGCUUGCUGCCUUGCGAGUUGACCAUUGCAGCGGCCCUUCCGCAUUUUGUAUGGGUAGAUCUCCCACCUAGCAAGCCCUCCAUUUUUCAGCAUAUAGCUGAAUGCUGCAAACAUGUUUCCACCUUCUUCGCUAUCGCCAUGUAAGAAACUAGUAUCUGCGCAAUCUAGUAACUGCUGUGCUGAUAAAUUCAGCAACUCUCCUUUUUUAAUCCCAUGCUGCAGCAGCAGCGAAGGCCCAACAAGAAUCUAUAAUUCAAAAAAAAAAUUUAGAAUCUAUCACUUUUAUGGUUUAUAAUAUGAGAAAUGAUUCGGUACUUUAUUUUAUAGAAAAUAUAAAAGAUCUUAACUGUUGAUUAAUGAAGGUUAAAAAUGUUAUUUCAUUAUAUAACAGAUUAAAAAGUUAUUUCAUUUAAGGGUAGUUUGUAAUUAAACUAGACAAAAUCUUAAGAAAGAUUUGAUUAAUAUAUCAAAUUUAUCAUUAAUUUUGCAACUAAUUUAAGAAUUAAUUUAAGAUUUGAUUGAAAUCCCAAAUUUGAGGCAUUAAUUUUAGGAAUUCUAUCUCUUUACAUCUCUACUGUGGAUGAAGAGGAAAGAUAGAGAGAGAAAAAGGAAAUAAAGAGUAAAUAGAGAUUUGAUCUUUUUAUAGUAGAAAUAAAAUUCCUAAUUAUCUAUAUAUUGAAAGACCAAAAUACCAUUUUUUGGGUAUUUGGUAACCGUUACCUCUCUCCAAGUGAUCUGUUAUUAUAGGUCACAAUUUCAAAAAAAAUUAAAUCUAAACCGUUGAAUAAAAAUAAAUGAACGGUAUUAAAAAAUAACAAGUCUUAUAAUAUAUAAAAUAAAAUUAACUUACUGCAUGUACCUUGGGCUUUGACGGGAGUCACGACUCUAGCAUCCCUCUAGUCAAAAGUUGCCUUUCUUUUUGAAGAAAUUAUGUAGGUCGUCCAUUCUUUGGGUGCAAACAUCACGCACCCAUUGGACGAAAGUAAACCCUCCAACUCCAUCCAUCUGAAAGAAUAAAUAAAUUCAUCAUGUAGUGCAAAAAACAGAAAGAAGAUAAGCAUAAAAAUUUUUGACUAAAGUGUGAUCGUUGACUUGCACAUUUUGGUUAUGUUGUAUCCUUUAACACAGCCUUUGAAACUAACAAAUAUAACAUGUUGUUUGCACCAAUUCUUGACGUGAAUAAUCAUAAGAAAACGAUUUUAUUUGAAGUGGGCCUUAUUGUGUGACAAGACAACAAAAUCCUUUAUACGGCUUUCCAAACCUUUCGAAAGUGUUUGUCCACCAAGCAUCCUAUUCCGAUCAAUGUAAAGCCAUGUGCAAAGAAAUUGCAACGGACCUUCCAAAUACUAAAUUAACAUAGUUUGUGUGUUUGACAUAUUUUUCAAUAUGCCAACAUCAACCUCCGUUGCAUUAUCAACAAGUAUACAAAAUUCUCUACAGCAUUAAAGGAUUGUGUUUAUGAAGCUCGAUUGGUGGAGAACAUAGAGGAAAAAUGGUUUGCUAUGUUGAAGGACUAUGACCUUGAGAGAAAUCUAUGGUUGGAAAACUUAUACACUAUUUGUAGUAAAUGGGCCAAGGUGCACUAACCAGGAUCCUUUUCUGCCGCCAUUACAAGCAGGAAAGGUGCGGGGAUUUGAAUAGUCAUUUGGCCUCCGUUUGGUUCGGGGUUAAGGAAAAAGUAGCUAUUCCAGGGAUAGAGUUAAGUUCAGGGUUAAAGUGGAGUUAAAGUUUUUUUGUGUUUGGUUGGGGGUUGGAGUUAGUCUAGAAUAAUGAAAAAUAGUGUUUGGUUGGAGUAGGUGGGAUAAAAAGAUAAUGAUUGAUAAAGAAGGAUAAUGAUUGGUUGGAGUAUGUGUGAUAAGAAAGAUAGUGGGUUAUUAUGAAUAGAAAAUAGUGUUUGGUUGGAGUUUGGUGGGGUUAGGUGGGGUUAACUAACCCGGGAUAAUUUAUUUGAGGUGGGGUUAGCUAACCCCACCCAUUUUUUGGGGUGUUUGGGGAUAAAAUGGGGGUUAAGGGGUUAUUCCACCCCUUAACCCCCAACCAAACAAGGGCUUGAAGAAUAUGUUUGGCAAGCAAUUAUUUCUUCCACUAUAACAAAAUAGACAUUUAACGACAAUUUAAUAACGGCAAUUAUCAAAUGGCCAUUAUUAUUUGUUAUUAAUUUAUAUUUUAGCGACAAUUAUUUUCAACUAUAGUUUUUACCAACUAAUAAUUUUAUGUUAAAUAUAUCUAAUUUUGAGCCCUAAUAGAACCCUAACCCUAACCCAAACCAACCCGAUUGAUCCCACUCCACCGCUGUGAGACCCCAGAUAGUCCUAUAUAUAAGAUAUAAUAGAACUAUAACUCUAAAUCUGACUUAAGUAUUUUGGUUGGUGGCUAGGCCCAAUAUAAUAUACCGAGAAUUCGGAAAAUAAAUAUCGAACUUUAGUCAAAUUGGCCAAAGUGCGAGGAUGGUACACUUCGGAAAGUACGAAGGUGUUAAAAGGAUCAAAAGUGUGUUAUGGGAGGUUUUCGAGAGCUAAGGAAUCAAAAAUCUGCAUUCUGCAGGUUUUGUGCUCUCGGGGACUGGUCCCUGAAGGAGAGACCGGUCCCCGUACGCGUGAAAACAGAGGAAAGCUGAAAAUCGGCUAAGUCCUGAGAAGGCAGGCUUCAGGAACCGGUCCCUGCCUGAGAAACCGGUCCUCCGGAGACCGGUCCCCCAAAGAGAGACCGGUCGCCUCAUGCGUGGAGCCGGGAGGACCUACGGGAACCGGUCCUUGGUCGGGGAGACUGGUCCCCGCAUGCGAAAUCUGUCAGUCCAGGCAGUUGAAUAAGAUGAAAGUUGAGGGGUUUAGCUGCAAUUUUGCAACCCAUAGAGAUAUGUAAGAGGGGUAAUGAGGUAUUUCUCUUAUUCUCACCCUCUCAUCACCUCUCAUCUCUCAUUCUCUCUCUAGAAGACAAGAAGAAGAAGAAGAAGACAAGAAAAAGAAGAAGAAGAAAGAGGAGAACAAGAAGAAGGAGUGAAGAAACUCCCUCUCUCUCAUCUCUAGUUUGGAAAAGGAAAGCUUACAAGGUAAGCUUUGAACCUUAAUCAUGGUAGAAACCAAAUUAGGGUUUGGAUUAGAUUAAAGAUGGUUUUUAUAGAAUCUCUAGAGUCUUUGAAGCUUUCUUUUGCUUCCUUUUGAGAUCAAAAUCAUGGAAUGGUGGAAAUGGUGAAGCUUGAAUGAAAGCUUCAACCUCCUCUCAUGGUGAAACCCAAGCUAGGGUUUUAAUAAAGCUAAGAAUGGUUUAGAUGGACUCUUUAGAGUGUAAUGAAGCCUCUUUUGCUUUCAAUUGAGAUCAAAUCCUAGGUUUGAUAUAUGCUAUGGAGCUAGGGCACCCAAAUUGGGGCUUUUACUCAUGAGAAUUUCUAAGUGAAAUUGACCCUUUAGAAACCUAAUUGGGGGUAUUCCCGACGCGUUGGUGCGCUCGGAUUAGCGUUACGAAAAGUCUAUAAAACGUUAUGGGCAAAAUGGCCUAAGUUGGCUUCGUUUUGCCGCAGGUAAAGAACGAAAGAUCUAAAAAUCUCAAGAAAAUCAUCGGAGCACCUUUGUGAACCUACGAGGUGGGUGGUGCUUUUCAAACUCGUUGAACUUCCCUCUAUGCCUAAUGUGUCAUUCAAUUGAACAUAUAUAUAUAUAUAUAUAUAUAUAUAUUGUUGCAUGCAUUUUAGGGUAAAGCAAUGAUAAAAAUGUGAUGUUGCAUGAUUGUAAGUACAACUUGCGUAAUGUGAUGGUUAAGAACCUUAUGAAUGUCAAAAAUUCUAUAUAUGUAUGUAUGAGAGAAAAUGCGAGUACCAAAGUGAGGCGAAAGAAUAGAGUGACACAAUGAGACAUAGAUCGAGUGGCAUUUGAUAAUGUAAAGUAAAGUGACACUAGAGGUAGUGUGAGGCAAAGAAUCAAUGUGAUGUAAAGAAUAAUGAUAAUGACUAAAGUGAAAGCAAAGUGGGGCGUAAAGAACAUGAAUGCUAAGAUAGCCAAAAGUAAAGAAAUGUAAAGAACAUGAAUGCUAAAGAUAGCCAAAAGUAAAGAAAUGUAAAGAACAUGAAUGCUAAAGAUAGCCAAAGUAAAGUAAAGAACUGAAUGCUAAAGAUAGCCAAAGUAAAGAAAUGUAAGAAAUGAUUGCUAAAGAUAACCAAAAGUAAAGAAAUGUAAAGAACAUGAUUGCUAGAGUUAGCAAAAGUAAAGAAAGGUAAAGAACAAUGAUUGCUAGAGUAGCAACAUAAAUGAUGUAAAGAAACAUAGAGUUAGGCCCGUUCGGAUACCUCUAAAAAUGUAGCAUAGUUAAACUAUGCUACACCGAUAGGAAAAUAAUCCUAUGAACGCUUUGGAAGAAAAAAAAAUAACGUAAUUUUUGGAGUAUAGUUAUACUAUACUCCAAAAAAUGGAGUAAACUUACAAUCCACUUUAACCAAGGAAAAAAAUUCCACCAAUUUUGGGCUCCCAAGAUGUAUCAACUUUCUAAAUUUUAAAUUUAACAUAAAUUUUUAAAUUUCAAAAUUUAAAAUUUAAAAUUCAAUUUUAAUUUUGAUUUUAAAUUUCAAAUUUCGAAAUUCAAAUUUCAAAAUUCAAAAAGUUCAAAUUUCAACUUUCAAAUUUCAACUUUCAAAUUUCAAAUUUCAAAUUUUCAAAUUUCAAAAAAUUGAAAUUUCAAAUUUCAACUUUCAAAUUUCAAAUUUCAAAAAGUUCAAAUUUCAACUUUCAAUUUCAAAUUUCAAAAAGUUCAAAUUUCAAAUUCAAAUUUUAAUUAAUUUUUGAUUUUUAAUUUUCAAUUUUCAAAAUUAAUUAAACUUAAAUUUUAAAUUUUAAAUUUAUAAAUAUGUAAAUUUAUAAAUUAUUAAAUUUAAAAUUUAAAAUUUAAAAUUUUAAUUAUAGAUUUUUUAAAUUUCAAAUUUUAAAGUUUAAAUGGUAUAUUUUAAAUUUUAAAAUUUAAAGUUUCAAAUUUCAAGUUUUAAAUUUCAAAUUCCAAAUUUCAAAUUUCAAAUUUAAAACAUAAAAUCUAAUUUAAUUUUUUAAUUUUAAAUUUUAAAUUUUAAUUUUAUAUUUUGAAUUUUGAAUUUUAAUUUUGAAAAUUUUAUUUUUAAAUUUUGAAUUUUGAAUUUUGAAUUUUGAAUUUUGAAUUUUAAAUUUUAAAUUUUGAAUUUUGAAUUUUAAAAUUUUAGAAAUUUAAUUGUUAUAAAUACUGUGGAAUUGUAUGAUCUGUAUCCAAACAGCUUAAAAAUGAAGCUGUGGAAUUUUUUUUUAGUUACAGGAUUCCGUAUUUCAAUUAGACCAAAACCAUAGAAUAAAAAUUCCAUGGAGUUUUUUAACUAUGCAUCUAAACAGGGCUUAAGUGUAAAGUCAAGAUUGAACAUACAAUCCUUUGAGUUAAGGAUUCGAUCAUACUUGCUAUGAGUUCCGUGCCCGAGGGUGGUCGCUCCCCCUCGGGCGAUGCGCUCCAGAGUUUUGCAUCACGGGUUGGAGUAAACCCGAGGACGGUCUUAGCGGGAGGAAGCUCAGGGCCCGCUAUGAUGGACUUAAUGUGAAGUAAGUUAAUGUGGCGAAACUCCCGGGUUAGCCUUGAGAUUAAAGUACAAAGAGCAAAGAACAAAGAACAAAGACAAAGUGUAAAGAGCAAAAAACAAAGAACAAAGACAAAGUGUAAAGAGCAAAGAACAAAGAACAAAGACAAAGUGUAACAUGCAAAGAACAAAAGAACUUGCAUAAUCUGCAUAUGUUAAUAUUGAGCAUAUUUUCUGCUUAUUGUUCAGGCAUAUUAGCAUCAUAUUAUAGAUUGGUUACUAUAUGCAGCUUUUUCUUUCUAUUAUGCCUGAGUUAGUCCUAGUGGAAAAGUCGGUGAGAUUGAGGCCGAACCCACUGGGAACUUUGUUGUAGUUCUCACCCCACUAUUUUCACAGAGCCGGGACCGAGCGAGCCGGCGAGCGAUCGCGGUAAAGGUAUCACGCCAUAGUCAGAGGCCACCGGUGCUGGGUUACAUUUUGUAGUAGAGUACCCUAUAAUCAUCUUUUGUAUUUGAUGAUAAAUGAUGUAAAGAAAAGAAUGUAAAACACCCUUUUGAGGUAAAUGUGAUGUAAGGAAGAAAUGAUGUAAUGAAAUGUAAGGAAUUUGAAAAUGUACAAGUUGGACUUAAUGUAUAUGAUGUAAAUUGAAUCAUAGUACAAGUGAAUGUUUAGUUUCCUUUCUUUCACUCAUGGCUAUUGCUUACCCUCGUGUAAGCCGUAUUUGUAUGUUUUCGCUAGUGCACUUCUUUGUUUGAAAAUGUACAUGUGAUGAGCCUUGGGCGGACAGGAAAAAUUCUGUUCGUUCGGCGUCUGUUUGACGUGCUCGGGCCGGCCCAAAUUAGUAUCGGUCCCGGGGCGUGACACCCAAGAGGUUAAGAGAGUUAAGCGUGCUAGGACGGGAGUAGUCCUAAGUUAGGUGACCCCUGGAAAGUUGGGGCGUCACAACCGCGCCUCUCCCAUGCGUCGACCUCACACGAACGCCCCGCCCUCCCCUCCUCUCUGAGCUCGAGCUUCCUCGAGCACCACCAAAUCGCUGGCAUCGUCCACUUCACCGCUGUCGACAACGUCUACAAUCUCUAGUUAUUUUGUGGGUAAAUGUAGAAAUCGCUCACUUAAUUACCUUUUCAUUAUUUUUCCGGUGUUAAUUUAUCUCAUGACUUAGGAGGUAUUGGAAUGGAAAAUUGCGUAAACUGAAUGGAAAUUUGUUGAUUAAUGUUGAUUUUUUAUGGGAAACGAAUUAACUUGAAUUUUGCAUAUUUUUUCUUGAUAUGAACGAAAUCAAUCGGGUUGCAUUGAGUUUGGAUCAUUAAAAUCAGUAGUAGUGCUUUUCUCCUUAUUUCAAAUGAUAAUUUUAAGGGAAAUAGCCUUACGUUUUGAUUUUUAUUUCUAUACAUUUUUCAAACUCUAAAUAUAAUAUCAGAGCCUAGAUGAAUGGUUCUAAGAUCUAGAAAGUCCCCUGAUAUUAUUCAUAUUUAACUCUCAAUGUUUAUGUGAUUUAUCGCUUUGCCCUUUCUUUGGCACUUUUCUAUGAUAAUACGAUGCAUUAGUUUUUCUAUAGCCUAGGCGUGUAAUAAAUAGUAGUAGCUAGUGAGGGAAAUUGGUGGAGGAAUGAAGUGAAAGAACAACAAGGAAAGAAAAGGGGGAAUUGAUAUUGAAGAAGUAAGCUACUAAUGUUUUGUGAGGCUAAAGCAGAAAUUGUCGUUGUAUCUGUUUUCAUGUGGCUUAGGAGGACCCAUGCAGGGAGAGAGAGCAUUAAUUAUAGAAGCCUUGCUAAAGUGUCCUCCUAUUAGGGAAUGAGGCAGUUGUAAGAGACUCCGUCAACUAGUUGCAGGCAAUAUGCAAUUUUCUUGGGGCCAAAAUGCAAAGUUUUUGAGUGGUCUGCUAAUGCUUAUAGAUAUCGUAAACAAUUUGUCCUGAGAUUCGCUGGUGGGCGGUGUGAUGAGUGGUUAGAACAUUGCAAGGUUUUAAUAAUAGGACAUGUCUAGGUUUUAGGGCCUUGUCGUUGCUCUUUUAUUAUUUCUUAUUUCAUCAAAUCUUCAAUUGAAAUCCUUGAAACAAUCGAAAGAGUCAAAAGUGAAGCAUUUGGCAUCAAGGGUGGUAAAUAGGCUUUUGCAUUUGAAUUUUGUGGUCUCUAUCAACUAGUAAUUGUGCUUGUGUAUUGUAUUUGUUAGACUUUUUUUAGUUAUGUAGAAUAAUAUUGUGAAUAUGUAAACCUUCUGAUGAUCAACAUAUUUUGUGGCUCAGCUAGUUAUAUAUGCUAGUAUUCAAAGGUGAAAUGCAUGAUGUUUUUUCUUGUGACCAUUUGUUUGCAUCUUUUUAAUUGUCGUUUUUUUUUUUUUUUUGAUAAGUUGAUAUUAAAAUUUUCUUUCCCAUUUGGUCUUUAGCUUUUUUCUUAUUAUCCAUUUCAUGACAAAUUUUAUGGAAUAAACUCAUCAUCCUCCAAUAACAUAACCAUUAGCAGCGAGUAUGUUUAAUAACGCGUUGAUUUUAGGCGUCAGUUAUAAUAGUUAAAGAUGAUGCUACUAACUAACAAAUACCAAUCAAACUAUUUCUUUGGUCUUUUGCCUGUCUCUGCUUAUAUUUUGGAUUGAAUUGUAGCAUCGCCUUUCUAUACAUGUAGGGGCUAUCAAAGACUCGGUAGUUGGUGAAGAGUGUCCGAUGCAGAUCUGGAUGGGUUGAAGACGUACUUUCGAUGUCGUAGACGCAAUCAGAACCUUUAGAUUGAUUUUAUGAGAGCUCUAUCAGUGGUUUAGAUUUAAUUUAGAAACUUAUCUCUUACUUUAGAUUCAGAUUUUUAGAUGUAUUUUUAUUAUUACGUUGAUAUAGUUUUCUUUGGUAGACUGGCGGAGCAUGUGAUUAACACUAUAUGGUUGAUAUAGUUUUCUUUGGUAGACUGACGGAGCAUGUGAUUAAUACUAUAUGAUUAGAUGUUGUCAAUUGUUUGAACAAAUGAGAAAAAUAUUUGUAUGAAAAAAAAGCCUUUUUAGACUAUAGAAAAGCCUUUUUUUUUUAAUUGGUCUGUUCAAUAGAUGAUGGGGAUUUAAACUUGAGCCUGGUAACUCAAGCAACAGAGAAUGACAUUAAUACUAUCAGAUCAGAUAUUGUCAAUUGUUAGAACAAAUGGGAGAAAAAAAACUAUAUUAUAAAAGUGUUUCUUGGGAUUUUUUUCUUUUUAGUAUAAGCAGAGAAAAAAUUGUCUUUUGUUUGGCCCUUUAUUUCUGAUUGGUUCAUGCUACGAUGAUUUGAUGUAGAAAGCAGGAGGGAUGAUUCGAACAUGCAACAAUUAGUGCAGUUAGUGCUAAAUUAACUAAUACCUCCUUAGAUAUAAUUACCAGAAAAGUAUUAUCUUGUCGCAGUUGGCAGAUUUGGAAUUGUAUGAAGCUCCUUGGUACAUGUUUAUGUAUUUGAUUUGGUUUGUUAUUUUCUUCAUUUUUUUAAAACUCCUAUAAUAAUGUUGGAUCUAGUUAAUAUCCGUCUUUCAUUACAAUGUUAUUUUAUCCUACUUUAGAAUGUAUAUGAAUACUUAAAGAAAUCUUUCUGCUUAUGAUAAGAAUAUAUUUGGUGUUGCAUUUUCUUUUCACAUAAUAUUCUCUCUUCUAACUAUUUUACUGUUUUGAUUGAAUAUGUUCAACUGAAAAGGUACAUUACUUGAAUAGCAUAACUAGACUUAGAUUUGUUGACAAUACUAAAUAGUGAAUCCACAUUUACUAAUUAGUGUUUGGGAAGAUGUGGCUUUCAAUUGCUCAGUGACAAAUAGAUUUCAACAUCAAUUGAUCUCAAGUUCAAUGCAAAAUGAUAGAUGCAGGUACUCUAAUACACUACUACAUAUGCAAUUAGUAGGCAUUCUAAAUAGUGAUUACCAAAUCUGGUUUAACAUAGAUGCUGCCUAGCAUCACUUAUGUUUAAGGAAAAAUGGUUCUAGGUUGCCUUGGUUUUUUUAUAGUUUAGAAAGAUACCAAUAGAAACCCAAAGUAAACUAAUAAAAAAAUGGAAUGUAGAGAAUACAUAUGAGAACUAUUAUAUUGGUGAUUUAUUGCUGUAGAAUAAUUAGUGUAGAUACUUUUGGACUUUAUCUGUAUACUGUGGCAGUAGUUAUGUUCCACAUGGCCUCUACAAGUUUUAGAUAGAAAUAAACGAAGCGGGUAGCGUGCCAAUCUCUCUUAAAAAAAAAAAAAAAAAAAAACUUUUAUACCGAACACAAAGGUGGUGCCAAGUUAGUAUGGCAGAAUUGUAGAGGAAUAGAAAGAAAGUGGAGCAGCGGAGGAGAUGGUGACAAGAGGCCCUGGGUGAAAUCAAACCGCAUUAAUAAGCAAAAAAGAUGCAUGCUACGAAAUUGCGGCAUUUAUAUGAAAGAAAAUAGAAAGCACAAUAGCCAUAGGGCCUAAAAUAGUAAGUUUCGCAUCCUACGAGCUUUGAAUGGUGCUUGUGUUUGCAGCUUCUAAAGGUCUACAAUUUCUAUGUUUAUAAAUCGAUCAGUAUAUUUUUGUUUCUAAUUUGGUUUGUUUAAGCCUGUUGGAAUUUUUUUUUGCAUAUCUUUCUUUGGUAAACGAAGUUGAUCUAAAUUAAUAAACAAAACAGUGCUGGAAAAAAAUAGUUGUUUAGUAAAAACCAAAAUGCAGGGCCUCGCAACCUACAUAUUGCACAAAGUGCUCUGUACAUUUGGAUUUUGCCUGUGCCGACCUUGCUCCUUGCGCGGUCUAAGCUUUACUCUAACUAAGAAAAAGAGCUUGAAUGGUUUGUAACCUGUUUAUCUAUGCUCGGCAAUACUGUUUCCUACGUGUGGAUUAAUUCGUAUUCUCUUAUUUUGAUUGUGAUGAUCUUGCUUCUUAAUUAGUUUCAGAAAAGGUAUUUGCUGUCGAUUUUUAUGUAAGCAUAUGAGCAAGACAUUGCUGAAAAACUUACUAUGUUUUCGAAUAAGAAUUUUAUUUGUUUAUGCUGUGAUGCAACACAUGAGUUUUGAUAUUUGCUUCUGGUACGAUACAGUGUAUGAAGUUUGAUAUUUCUCGAUUUAGUUUAGUAUUUGAGUUGGCUCUGGUUUCCAGCUCGAUUGCUACUUAUUUUGUAAUUUAUUUGCCGUUGGCAUUUUUUGCAGACCUGUUUGGCGCCAAAUUAGUAUAGUUUGGCUUAUAUGUUGUCAAUGCUUUUCCUAAACUCAUGUUUUUCCUAAACUGAUACCAAUUCGCAGCUUGCAUGGACUCAAUUUAGUUUGCUUGAGACAAGAUGGCAUGCUUCGUAAUGAGAAGCCUUUUCAUUACAGUAGGCUAUUUGUUUUGUAGGAAUAAAGAUGAGUAUACUAUAGGAGCAUAUUAUAUUUUUUUAACUGUUCUCGAAUAUUUGUAAUCAUUUGUUUUGUUCUCCAAGCAUACCAGCGAGGGAAGGAGAAAAAUAGUUACACUCCGACGAUGACGGUGACCGCGAUAGAGGGCAAGAAAAAGAUCUUGAUCAAAAAAUUGUAGAGACAAAAAAAUGAGAAUAAUAAAAAAUAAAAAUAAAAAAUAUUUUUUUCUACAGAAAAGAUUAAAAAUUAUAAAAAAAGAAUAAGAAAAUAAAAUUGCACUAUUAAAAUAAAAUUAUACUAUUUUUUAAAAAUAUUGGUAUUAUUUUAAAUAAAAAUUACAUAUUUGAGGUAAAAAUUAUAUUCUUUGGAAUAAGAAUUACACUCUUUAGAUGAAAGUUGUACUAUUUUGAUAAAAUUUAUAUUAUUUUUUUUUUCUUCUUCCUCCUCCUUUCCUUUUGCUUUCUCGUCCUCCUCCUUCUCCUCCUCCUUCCUCUUCAGCUCACAGACGGCGCCGCCUGCUGUCAAUGUACAUGCCGCCGCCGCCGCUGCCGUACGUGACUUUUUUGAUGAUGUUUUUUUUUGUCUUGUAAUUAUUGUGUGAAUAGGUGUUUGAUAAUGAGGGGUUUGUAAUAUUUCUUUUUCAUACCGAGUGACACGUUUCAAGAUUAAACUAUUUAUUUUUGGUGCAUAAUUAUUGGAGCAAUAGUUGAUCUUGCUGGAUGGUGGUACUGCAUCGGCUGUGUGUUAAUUAAUAAAUCAAUUAGGAAUGAAAAAUACAUGCAUUUUGAGUGUUUUUUUUUCCCCUCUUAUUAGCUUGUAACUGUUCUUCAUCCACUUCAUCAACGAAAUACUAUUCGCCAAAAAAGUCAUGUACGACGGCGGAGGCAGCAGCGGGAGCAUGUACAACGGGGGCGCCAGCGGCGGCUGCUGCGAGCUAAAGAGGAAGGAGGAGAAGGAGGAAGGAGGAGGAGAACGAGAAAGCGGAGGAGAAGGAAAAAGAGAAAGACAGAGAAAUAAGAAAUGAUAUAAAUUUUACCCAAAUAGUAUAAUUUUCGCCUAAAAGUAUAACUAUUAUUCUAAAAAGUAUAAUUUCUGUCUCAAAAAGUAUAACUUUUGUUUAAAAUAGUGCAAAUUUUUUUUAAAAUAGUGUAACUUUUUUUAACAGUGUAAUUUUAUUUUUUUCUUUUUCCUUCUAAUUUUUGAUCUUUCAUGUAGAAAAUAAUUUUUUUUAUUUUUUAUUAUUCUUUUUUUUUCUUUAUAAUUUUUUUUGUCACAAUCUUUUUUUUACCUUCUUUUUAAUGUCCUUAAGGUUUAGCUGUCUGAGAGACUGCAACAUCUAUAGCUUAUCGACACGUCUAGAAAGUGUCAGGAUAAGUCGGAGUCGUUUUAACGCGAAUUGGACGCAAAACGGAUUCGGCACAGUGCGAGAGUGGAGUUCUGGCACUGAAAGCUGCAAACUGCAUAAUUUCUGUGUUGAGUAUCGGUAUGUGGGAGGAAUACCGAUACCCCAGAGAGAUUACAGAACUGAAUGCUCUCAGGUUUGCGCAGUUUG
rnacentral:lncRNA from 1 species